rnacentral:rRNA from 1 species
UACGGAGGGGGCGAGCGUUAUUCGGAAUUAUUGGGCGUAAAGGGCGCGUAGGCGGCUGUACAAGUCAAAGGUGAAAUCCCUCGGCUCAACUGAGGAACUGCCUUUGAAACUUUACGGCUUGAGGCCGGGAGGGGGUAGCGGAAUUCCCAGUGUAGCGGUGAAAUGCGUAGAUACUGGGAGGAACACCAGUGGCGAAGGCGGCUACCUGGACCGGUUCUGACGCUGAGGCGCGAAAGCGUGGGUAGCAAACAGG